UGUAUUUAUUAGAUACAAAACCAAUGCCUUUCGGGGCUCCUUUGGUGAUUCAUGAUAACUUCUCGAAUCGCACGGCCCCGCGCCGGCGAUGGUUCAUUCAAAUUUCUUCCCUAUCAACUUUCGAUGCUACGGUAGUGUCCUAGCAUGGUUGCAACGGGUGACGGAGGGUUAGGGCUCGACCCCGGAGAAGGAGCCUGAGAAACGGCUACCACAUCCAAGGAAGGCAGCAGGCGCGCAAAUUACCCAAUCCCGACACGGGGAGGUAGUGACAAUAAAUACUGAUACAGGGCUCUUUUGGGUCUUGUAAUUGGAAUGAGUACAAUUUAAACCUCUUAACGAGGAACAAUUGGAGGGCAAGUCUGGUGCCAGCAGCCGCGGUAAUUCCAGCUCCAAUAGCGUAUAUUAAAGUUGUUGCAGUUAAAAAGCUCGUAGUUGAAACUUGGGCCUGGCUGGCGGGUCCGCCUCACCGCGUGCACUCGUCCGGCCGGGCCUUCCUUCUGAAGAACCUCAUGCCCUUCACUGGGCGUGCUGGGGAACCAGG
rnacentral:rRNA from 1 species